AUCUUAUGGUGAAGGCAUUUAUGUAGUAGCUUUUUGAAUCUUUCCCAUGCCUCGUAUUGGGACUCAUCAUCCAUCUGCUGAAAAGUGGUGAUCUUAUUUUGCAAUGC
rfam:Gossypium hirsutum cultivar TM-1 chromosome 9, whole genome shotgun sequence